rnacentral:rRNA from 1 species
AUUGAACGCUGGCGGCAUGCCUUACACAUGCAAGGUCGAACGGCAGCAUGGAGGAGCUUGCUCCUCUGAUGGCGAGUGGCGAACGGGUGAGUAAGCAUCGGAACGUACCGUGUAGUGGGGGAUAACGUAGCGAAAGUUACGCUAAUACCGCAUACGCACUGAGGUGGAAAGCAGGGGAUCGCAAGACCUUGCGCUAUACGAGCGGCCGAUGUCAGAUUAGCUAGUUGGUGGGGUAAAGGCUCACCAAGCCAACGAUCUGUAGCUGGUCUGAGAGGACGACCAGCCACACUGGGACUGAGACACGGCCCAGACUCCUACGGGAGGCAGCAGUGGGGAAUUUUGGACAAUGGGCGCAAGCCUGAUCCAGCAAUGCCGCGUGCAGGAAGAAGGCCUUCGGGUUGUAAACUGCUUUUGUACGGAACGAAACGGCUCUGGUUAAUACCUGGGGCUAAUGACGGUACCGUAAGAAUAAGCACCGGCUAACUACGUG